GGACUAAAAUGCCUCCAGGCUUCUCAACGAAUUCCUCUAAUUGUACAGGUGGGUGAGAGGCUACAGUCCCAUGUCUGAAUAUCUCAUUUCUCAGUAUAGUAAGAAGACAGUCAUCCAACUGGGCAGAUAAACAAGGCACAUCGACCAAGGAGGGCACUUCUGGUAAGCUAUCUAGCUGAAUAUGUAAAGCUUUUUUUGUAAAGCUGCAAAGUUUUUCAUUAUGUUGUUCCACAUCUCCACAGAUUGCACUCUCUCCUUCCCGGAGCAGAUCAUCAGCUGUGCUGACUCCAUGCUCUAUUAGCUUCUGGCAUUCAUCCAGUGGUUUGAUGCUCUCUUGUUCUAUAGUAUCCACUUCCUGCAGCAGUGACAUCAGUCGCUCAUCCAACAGCUUCUUUAGGGUCCCUUUUAAAUCAUUAAAAUGUUGCUCAAGUACAUCUCUGGUCAAUGUUGCACUUUCUCUGAUCUGUUGCCGCGCCUGGUGCAGCCCCCGCAACCGCUGCUGCAGCUCCCGCCGGUAGCUCCGCGCCGCCUCGAUGCUCUCCCGAGCCUCCUGCAGCAGGAGCCGCGCCUCGGUCUCGGCCUCCAUGGGCAGCCGCGGCGGCGGGCGGGCCCCCGGAAGGACCCCACAUCCGCGGGGCGGGGCGGGAAGC
rnacentral:lncRNA from 1 species